GGACCUCAUAAAGUAUGUCGUAGUCCGGAUUGGAGUCUGCAACUCGACUCCAUGAAGUCGGAAUCGCUAGUAAUCGUAGAUCAGAAUGCUACGGUGAAUACGUUCCCGGGCCUUGUACACACCGCCCGUCACACCAUGGGAGUGGGUUGCAAAAGAAGUAGGUAGCUUAACCUUCGGGAGGGCGCUUACCACUUUGUGAUUCAUGACUGGGGUGAAGUCGUAACAAGGUAACCGUAGGGGAACCUGCGGUUGGAUCACCUCCUUACCUUAAAGAA
rnacentral:rRNA from 1 species